rnacentral:rRNA from 1 species
ACGAAGGGUGCAAGCGUUACUCGGAAUUACUGGGCGUAAAGCGUGCGUAGGUGGUGGUUUAAGUCUGCUGUGAAAGCCCUGGGCUCAACCUGGGAAUUGCAGUGGAUACUGGGUCACUAGAGUGUGGUAGAGGGAUGCGGAAUUCCAGGUGUAGCGGUGAAAUGCGUAGAUAUGUGGAGGAAUACCGAUGGCGAAGGCAGCCUCCUGGGCCAACACUGACGCUCAUGCACGAAAGCGUGGGGAGCAAACAGGA